rnacentral:rRNA from 1 species
CCUACGGGUGGCAGCAGUGAGGAAUAUUGGUCAAUGGACGAGAGUCUGAACCAGCCAAGUAGCGUGAAGGAUGACUGCCCUAUGGGUUGUAAACUUCUUUUAUAUGGGAAUAAAACGUUCCACGUGUGGGAUUUUGUAUGUACCAUAUGAAUAAGGAUCGGCUAACUCCGUGCCAGCAGCCGCGGUAAUACGGAGGAUCCGAUCGUUAUCCGGAUUUAUUGGGUUUAAAGGGAGCGUAGGUGGAUUGUUAAGUCAGUUGUGAAAGUUUGCGGCUCAACCGUAGAAUUGCAGUUGAAACUGGCAGUCUUGAGUACAGUAGAGGUGGGCGGAAUUCGUGGUGUAGCGGUGAAAUGCUUAGAUAUCACGAAGAACUCCGAUUGCGAAGGCAGUUCACUGGACUGCAACUGACACUGAGGCUCGAAAGUGUGGGUAUCAAACAGGAUUAGAUACCCUUGUAGUC